UGCAGUCGAACGGUAGCACAGAGAGCUUGCUCUCGGGUGACGAGUGGCGGACGGGUGAGUAAUGUCUGGGAAACUGCCUGAUGGAGGGGGAUAACUACUGGAAACGGUAGCUAAUACCGCAUAACGUCUUCGGACCAAAGUGGGGGACCUUCGGGCCUCACACCAUCGGAUGUGCCCAGAUGGGAUUAGCUAGUAGGUGGGGUAAUGGCUCACCUAGGCGACGAUCCCUAGCUGGUCUGAGAGGAUGACCAGCCACACUGGAACUGAGACACGGUCCAGACUCCUACGGGAGGCAGCAGUGGGGAAUAUUGCACAAUGGGCGCAAGCCUGAUGCAGCCAUGCCGCGUGUAUGAAGAAGGCCUUCGGGUUGUAAAGUACUUUCAGCGGGGAGGAAGGCGAUAAGGUUAAUAACCUUGUCGAUUGACGUUACCCGCAGAAGAAGCACCGGCUAACUCCGUGCCAGCAGCCGCGGUAAUACGGAGGGUGCAAGCGUUAAUCGGAAUUACUGGGCGUAAAGCGCACGCAGGCGGUCUGUCAAGUCAGAUGUGAAAUCCCCGGGCUUAACCUGGGAACUGCAUUUGAAACUGGCAGGCUAGAGUCUUGUAGAGGGGGGUAGAAUUCCAGGUGUAGCGGUGAAAUGCGUAGAGAUCUGGAGGAAUACCGGUGGCGAAGGCGGCCCCCUG
rnacentral:rRNA from 1 species